UAAGUAGACAAGGUGGUCGUCGGUUUCCUUUAUUCUUUGGGAUGGAGGGAACGGGAGGAAAGUCCGAGCUCCACAGGGCACAGUGCUCCGUAACGCGGAGUCCCGGUAACGGGAAGGAAAGUGCAACAGAAAAUAUACCGUCCCAUUUUAAUCGGGAUAAGGGUGAAAUGGCGGGGUCGUUCACCGACUUAAUGUAAGAGCCCACCGCUCCAGUGGUGACACGGGAGGCAUGGCAAACCCCACUGGGAGAAAGGCUAAAUAGGGAGGGAUGAAGUGGCCCGCUUUGCUUAUACCUCCGGGUAAGCCGUUUGAUCUCGUUGGUAACAACGAGGCUAGAGAAAUGACCAUCCACGACAGGACUCGGCUUAUUGUCUGCUUAAGCA
rnacentral:RNase_P_RNA from 1 species